ACAUAUUCCAGAGCCCAAUUCACUUUACUUUAAUAAAUAAAAUUACCACCAAAUCCUAAAUAAAUAAUAUUUUCAUAUUUAAAUAUAUAAAUGUAACCCAUUUCUUCUUCUAAAUGCUGCACCUUGAUUUGAUCUAAAAUAAAAUUUUAUAUAAAGAAAAUUAUAUUUAUCAUGAAAUUUUCGUUACAACAACGAUAUACAAACAAUUUUAAAAGUAAAAUAAAUUGUGGACUAUCAAUUACAGAACAGGUUCCUCUGGUAGGUUAGAAUACCGCCAAGAUAUUUAAUUUUUAAGUACUUAACUAUUACUAAUCCGGUUAUACAAUUACAAUUUUAAUAGUAGGGUAUCUAAUCCUAGUUUAUAAUCAAAUUUUCCUAGAUCAUUUUCUUAAUAAAUUUAAUUUUUAUAAUAAAAAUUUCACCUCUCAAUAUAAUUUUCAAUUAUAUAUUCAUAAUAAUUAACUAAAACCACAAAAAUUAAGUCACUCUUUUUGUAUAACCGCA
rnacentral:rRNA from 1 species